UACAGGGGGGGCAAGCGUUGCUCGGAAUUACUGGGCGUAAAGGGCGCGUAGGCGGCCUGUUAAGUCGAACGUGAAAUCCCUGGGCUCAACCCAGGAACUGCGUCCGAUACUGGCAGGCUUGAAUUCGGGAGAGGGAUGCGGAAUUCCAGGUGUAGCGGUGAAAUGCGUAGAUAUCUGGAGGAACACCGGUGGCGAAGGCGGCAUCCUGGACCGAUAUUGACGCUGAGGCGCGAAAGCCAGGGGAGCAAACGGG
rnacentral:rRNA from 1 species